rnacentral:siRNA from 1 species
UUGUAGAAGUGCCUAAACAUG